AUGAGGUAUUUCGGCACCGCCUUGUCCCGGCCCGGCCGCGGGGAACCCUGCUUCAUCUCCGUGCGCUACGUGGACGACAAGCAGAUCGCACGGUUCGACAGCGACGCGGCAAGUUCGAGGAUGGAGCCGCGGGCGCCGUGGAUGGAGAAGGAGGGGCCGGAAUAUUGGGACCGGGGACACGGAUUUUCAAGAACACCGCACAGAGUUUCCGAGUGAACCUGCGGAACCUGCGCGGUUACUACAACCAUAGCAAAGCCGGUGACUGAUGCCGGUCCGGGGCGCAGGUCACGACCCCUCCCCGUCCCCGACGGAGGGCCUGAGUCACCCCGAAUCUCCGGGUCCGAGAUCCAUCCCGAGACUGCGGGACCUGCCCAGACCCUCGACCCGGGAGAGCCCCGGGCGCCUUUACGGGGUCUCGUUUUCAGUUUAGAACAAAAUCCCCGAAGGUUGGACGGGGGCGGGGCUCGGUGGGCGGCCAGGGUCCCACACCCUCCAGAAGAUGUUUGGCUGAGACCUGGGGCCCGAAGGGCGCCUUCUCCACGGGUAUCACCAGCACGCCUAUGACGGCGAGGAUUACCUCCCCCUGAACAAGGACCUGUGCUCCAGGACCACCGCGGACCUGGCGGCUCAUAUCACCCAGAGCAAGUGGGAGGCGGACAAUGUGGCGGAGAAGAUGAGCGCCUACCUGGAGGGCUGGUGCCUGGAAUGGAUCCGCAGACACCAGGAGAACGGGAAGGAGACACUGGAGAGCGCGGAGCUGUCUUCCCAGCCCACCACCCCCAUCGUGGGCAUCGUUUCUGGCUUGGCUGUCCUUGGAGCUGUGGUCGCUGCUGUGAUGUGGAGGAAAAAGAGCUCAGAUAGAAAAGGAAGGAGCUACUCUCAGGCUGCAAUGUGAGACAGCUGCCUUGUGUGGGACUGAGAGGCAAGUUUUGUUCACACCUUCCCUUUGUGACUUCAAGACCCCUGACUUCUUUUUCUGAAAGGCAUCUGAAUGUGUCUGUGUCCUUAUAGACAUAAUGUGAGGAGGUGGGAAGACCAGACCAGCCCCGUGUCCACCAUGACCCCUUCCCCAUGCUGACUUGCAUUCCUUCCCCUGUCACCUUUCCUGUUCCAGAGACCCGGGGCUGGGAUGUCUCCACCUCUGUCUCAACUUUACAGUGCACUGAGCUGUAACUUCUUCCUUUCCUAUUAACAUUAGAAUCUAAGUAUAGUUUACUUUUUCAAAUUAUUUCCAUGAGAGGUUGAUGGGUUAAUUAAAGGAGAAGAUUCCUGAAAUUUGAGACACAAAAUAAAUGGAAGACCUGAGAACCUUCCA